UGCCUACUGGGUUAAUGUAGUAGGUAAUUUCUGCCCACUGCAAUUUCUGUAAAGGGCUGCAGUAUUUUGACUGUAUAAAGGUAGCAUAAUCAUUAGCUUUUUAAUUGGGGGCUGGUAUGAAGGGGACACGGGGGGCUGGUAUUUUUAUAAAGACUAUUGAAUUUUAUAGCUUUGUGAAAAAUCAAAGAUUUAACUAAGGGACAAGAAGACCCUAUUUAAGUUUUAUUGCUAUAUAGGAAAAAUAUAUAGGUGGAUUGUGGAAAUUAGUAUAAUUUGUAUUUAGUCAUUUAGCUGGGGCGGCGAGUUUAGUAACAAGAUUUAUGUUUUAAUAUUUAUUGGCGUAUUAGAGACCUGAGAGGACCAAUUGAACGGGAAAUUACUUUAGGGAUAACAGCGUUAUUAUUUUUGAGAGUUCUAAUUGACGGAGUAGUUUGCGACCUCGAUGUUGGAUUAAGAUUAGCGUUGGUGCAGUAGUUGGCGUGUU
rnacentral:rRNA from 1 species